GGUUAAGUAAGCUAAACCUAAGCUAGUGGGCUCAUACCCCGAUAAUGAGAUUAUUCUCCUUAACCA
rnacentral:tRNA from 1 species